rnacentral:rRNA from 1 species
GAUGAACGCUGGCGGCGUGCCUAAUACAUGCAAGUCGAGCGAACGGACGAGAAGCUUGCUUCUCUGAUGUUAGCGGCGGACGGGUGAGUAACACGUGGAUAACCUACCUAUAAGACUGGGAUAACUUCGGGAAACCGGAGCUAAUACCGGAUGAUAUUUUGAACCGCAUGGUUCAAAAUUGAAAGACGGUCUUCCUGUCCCUUAAAGUUGGAUCCGCCCUGCAUUAGCUAGUUGGUAAGGUAACGGCUUACCAAGGCAACGAUGCAUAGCCGACCUGAGAGGGUGAUCGGCCACACUGGAACUGAGACACGGUCCAGACUCCUACGGGAGGCAGCAGUAGGGAAUCUUCCGCAAUGGGCGAAAGCCUGACGGAGCAACGCCGCGUGAGUGAUGAAGGUCUUCGGAUCGUAAAACUCUGUUAUUAGGGAAGAACAUAUGUGUAAGUAACUGUGCACAUCUUGACGGUACCUAAUCAGAAAGCCACGGCUAACUACGUG